rnacentral:rRNA from 1 species
AGUGAACGCUGGCGGCGUGCCUAAUACAUGCAAGUCGAACGGAGAUUAAGUAGCUUGCUAUUUAAUCUUAGUGGCGCACGGGUGAGUAAUGUAUAGUUAAUCUGCCCCAUAGUGGAGGACAACAGUUAGAAAUGACUGCUAAUACUCCAUACUCCUUCUUAUCAUAAGUUAAGUCGGGAAAGUUUUUCGCUAUGGGAUGAGACUAUAUCGUAUCAGCUAGUUGGUAAGGUAAUGGCUUACCAAGGCUAUGACGCGUAACUGGUCUGAGAGGAUGAUCAGUCACAUUGGAACUGAGACACGGUCCAAACUCCUACGGGAGGCAGCAGUAGGGAAUAUUGCGCAAUGGGGGAAACCCUGACGCAGCAACGCCGCGUGGAGGAUGACACUUUUCGGAGCGUAAACUCCUUUUGUUAGGGAAGAAUAAUGACGGUACCUAACGAAUAAGCACCGGCUAACUCCGUGCCAGCAGCCGCGGUAAUACGGAGGGUGCAAGCGUUACUCGGAAUCACUGGGCGUAAAGGACGCGUAGGCGGAUUAUCAAGUCUCUUGUGAAAUCUAGUGGCUUAACCACUAAACUGCUUGGGAAACUGAUAAUCUAGAGUAAGGGAGAGGCAGAUGGAAUUCUUGGUGUAGGGGUAAAAUCCGUAGAGAUCAAGAAGAAUACUUAUUGCGAAGGCGAUCUGCUAGAACUUAACUGACGCUAAUGCGUGAAAGCGUGGGGAGCAAACAGG